rnacentral:lncRNA from 1 species
GGGCACCCAAGAGAAAUCCUGCUGAGGAUUCAGGGACUGGGUGCUUUCAAGAUCUUAACCAAGAACCACAGUUCCUGUAAAAUGAGAGGAUGAUGUCAACGGCUUAUAGGAUCAUGAAGUCUCAGCAUUUUCAUCUUUCAGUCUCACCUCCUAUUUCCUGAAACAGGAGGCAACAAGAAUCAGGGCAUGCAAUGGGGCUCAACUUCUACUCUCUGCCACAAUUUUCAUCAUGAUUCCCCAAACACAGACCCAGACAGCAGGGGGCAGGGUGGGCAUUUCUGGACUGGAUUCUUUCAUAAUGAGUAUGAGAUCCAAGAUUUCAAUCCAUUAGGUCUCAGGUGCCAUCUGCUGAUAGAUCAGACUAGAUGGGUGUAA